ensembl:lncRNA
CAUGUUUUUCUUGCAUUAUAGCUCAAUAAAUGCAGGAAAGUGCAACAAAAUUUAACAUAAUAUUUGGAAAUAAUAUUUUAUUAUAAUAUUUACAAAAUCGGUUUAUCAGGUUUAUUUAAAAGUCUUUAAAGGGGGUCUUCUUUAACGAGUCUCAUUCAGAUCUUAAUUGUCUCAUUUGUCAUUAACCUCUUCUUUUUAUUUAUUUAUUUUUUGCUUGUUACAGUUUGAUGAAUGCAUGUUUAGCUGUCUGCUCACCCUGGACCUCACCCCAUACUUACUCAAUGACGAGAACACCACAGACAGAGAGAAGGACAAAUGAUGGGUUGGUGGCAGAUAGUGCAGGAUUAAAUGUUCAUUGUUAAAGGCAAACCAGCUAAAAGUGUCUAAAAGAUUGAAUGUUGGACUGUUAAAUUUAAAUGUCUAAAGAUCUCAUCAUUUAACAGGUUUGAGCUGUUUUUUUAAAAUUACAUUUUGUAUUGACAUUUGAAUGUUUAAGAGGUUGUUGUGUGAUGCAACUUUAAAAGUGUUUCAUGUUAAAGCAGUUUUAUGUGUUAUUGUUAAAUGCCAGUUUGCAUUUGUUCAGUGUGGAAAGUCAUUUUAAUACAUUUUUAUUGAUGCAUUUGUGAAGAGUUUUGUCAUUCUUCAUUAGCAGUUGUGCAAACUGUACACUUUGACCUGCCUCUGUCACAAGGGUGGGGUUUCAGCAAAACAUCCGCCUCUGUUAUUCUAUUCUCUCUUUGUCCCUGCUUCUCUUCUCAUCUCCUCAAAUAUAAAGCUUUGCUUUCCUUAGCAACUCUAAUGGCAUCUUACACAGUGGUCAUUGUCCCUCUCAGGAACAGUCCUAACAGUCUGGAUGCAUUGCAGUUCUUCCUCUGGAUGUCAGCUAUCACAGUUCAUCAUGACAUUCCUGUCCAGCUCUGAGGGGAAUAUUCAAAGUUCACAGCUACUUAACACACAUUGUGAUCUAUUUUUAUUUUGUUUACUCUUCACAAAGCGAUUGUGAGAACUUUUUUUUUGUUGAAGCUACUAUGGAAACAAACAGCAAUAUUGUCGCUGACAGUCAUGCAAUAACACAACUCCAAAAUUGAUUGUUUUUUAAGAUUUAAGAGCAUGAGU